GUGCUGGAGCAAGAAGAUCUCAAGCUGUGACUCUCCAGAGGGAUGCACUUUCUCUUAUGUGAAAAAAAAGAAGGCGCUUCCCUUUAGAGCGUUACGGUUUGGGUAAAGCAACUCUGAAG